CUGAAUAUUGGGCAAACCCGUCGAAAGGCGGGGACGCAAAGCUAAAGGGUCUAAGGACUUCGUGUCUAUGAUUGCCAGCUGCCGGU
rfam:Thermosinus carboxydivorans Nor1 ctg45, whole genome shotgun sequence.